rnacentral:rRNA from 1 species
UACGGAGGAUGCGAGCGUUAUCCGGAUUUAUUGGGUUUAAAGGGUGCGUAGGCGGCUUAGUAAGUCAGCGGUAAAAUUUUGCAGCUUAACUGUAACAGUGCCGUUGAUACUGCCAGGCUAGGAUUUGGUUGCUGUGGGUGGAAUGUGUGGUGUAGCGGUGAAAUGCUUAGAUAUCACACAGAAUAUCGAUUGCGAAGGCAGCUCACAAAGCCAAGAUUGACGCUGAGGCACGAAAGUGUGGGGAUCAAACAGGA